rnacentral:rRNA from 1 species
UACGGAGGGUGCAAGCGUUGUCCGGAUUUAUUGGGUUUAAAGGGUGCGUAGGCGGCUUUGUAAGUCAGUGGUGAAAUAUGGCAGCUUAACUGUCAAGGUGCCAUUGAUACUGCGAGGCUUGAGUACAGAUGAGGUAGGCGGAAUUGACGGUGUAGCGGUGAAAUGCUUAGAUAUCGUCAAGAACACCUAUAGCGAAGGCAGCUUACUAGGCUGUAACUGACGCUGAGGCACGAAAGUGUGGGGAUCAAACAGG